rnacentral:rRNA from 1 species
UACAGAGGGUGCGAGCGUUAAUCGGAAUUACUGGGCGUAAAGCGUGCGUAGACGGUUAUUUAAGUCGGGUGUGAAAGCCCCGGGCUCAACCUGGGAAUUGCAUUCGAGACUGAAUAGCUAGGGUACGGUAGAGGGAAGCGGAAUUUCCGGUGUAGCGGUGAAAUGCGUAGAUAUCGGAAGGAACAUCAGUGGCGAAAGCGGCUUCCUGGACCAGUACCGACGUUCAGGCACGAAAGCGUGGGGAUCAAACAGG